UAUAAUCUUUGAUUAUUCAUCUUAUUUGAAACUUUUUUGUGAUUAAUAUUUUUAAGAGAUGAUAAAAUAUGAAUAAUACUUUGCACGUGACUAAUGUUUUUAAAAAAAAUAUAAAAUUUUUAAAUAAGAUGGAUAGUCAAAAGGUUAGACACGGAAAUCGA
rnacentral:pre_miRNA from 1 species